UACAGGGAGGGCAAGCGUUAUUCUGCUUCGAAAGGUGUAAAAGGUAUGUAGGUGGGUUUCCAUAUGAUUAGGAAAGGUUUGAGAAACAUAAAAACAUAAAUUAUAAGUUAACUAAAUAUCUGGUAGAGAUUUGAAGAAUUUUUGGUAUAAGGAUAAAAUUUGUUUAGACUGAAAGGAAUGCCGACGGUGAAGACCUCUUUUUAUUAGGAUAUAUGCUAAAAUACGAAAACAUGGGUAGCGAGCGGG
rnacentral:rRNA from 1 species